UGUAGAACUAAGGGAGGUUUUGUUUGUUUGUUUUUUAAGUCUUAACUCUGCCUUUCAAGAUUUUGCAACUCUGGCUCAACUCUAACAUCUUCAAGAUGCAGCAAAUUUGACUUUGAUGUGGAGAUUAGAGAUGCACUUUUCUCCUGUGUGGGCUCUGUUAUCCACAUCAGACUGCCCCUCUACAUGGAUGUAUCCUCACCCUACUCAGGCUGGGCCUCUCCACACUGGACUGACCUUUCUGUGAUGCUGUCUUCACCCUGUACCAGGUGGGCUCUGACUCGCAUGCUGCCAUUGUUUCUUCUUCCU
rnacentral:lncRNA from 1 species